CCUACGGGGGGCAGCAGUGAGGAAUAUUGGUCAAUGGGCGGGAGCCUGAACCAGCCAAGUCGCGUGAGGGAAGACGGUCCUAUGGAUUGUAAACCUCUGUAGGCGGGGAGCAAUGCCGGGCACGUGUGCCCGGAGGGAGAGUACCCGCAGAAUAAGCAUCGGCUAACUCCGUGCCAGCAGCCGCGGUAAUACGGAGGAUGCGAUCGUUAUCCGGAUUUAGUGGGUUUAAAGGGUUCAUAGGCGGAUUUUUAAGUCAGCGGGAAAAUGGCCGGGCGCGACCCGGGCCGGCCGUUGAAACUGGGGAUCGGGAGUGGGCGAGAAGUAUGCGGAAUGCGUGGUGUAGCGGGGAAAUGCAUAGAUAUCACGCAGAACUCCGAUUGCGAAGGCAGCAGACCGGCGCCCGACUGACGCUGAGGCACGAAAGCGUGGGGAUCGAACAGGAUUAGAUACCCGGGUAGUC
rnacentral:rRNA from 1 species